rnacentral:rRNA from 1 species
GUGGGGAAUAUUGCACAAUGGGCGCAAGCCUGAUGCAGCGACGCCGCGUGGGGGAUGAAGGCCUUCGGGUUGUAAACCCCUUUCAGCAGGGAAGAAGCGACUGGGUUUUCUCAGACGUGACGGUACCUGCAGAAGAAGCGCCGGCUAACUACGUGCCAGCAGCCGCGGUAAUACGUAGGGCGCAAGCGUUGUCCGGAAUUAUUGGGCGUAAAGAGCUCGUAGGCGGUUUGUCGCGUCUGGUGUGAAAACUCAAGGCUCAACCUUGAGCUUGCAUCGGGUACGGGCAGACUAGAGUGCGGUAGGGGUGACUGGAAUUCCUGGUGUAGCGGUGGAAUGCGCAGAUAUCAGGAGGAACACCGAUGGCGAAGGCAGGUCACUGGGCCGCAACUGACGCUGAGGAGCGAAAGCAUGGGGAGCGAACAGGAUUAGAAACCCCUGUAGUCC